CUCCAGUCUGAGGAGACAAGACCAGCUGAGGAAUUGGCAAGAGACAUUUACAGUAUUGGAAUCUCGGCCAGUGUGAGCAGGAUGGGUUCCCAGUGGGGAACAGCCAGAGCCAGAAGACGCCGGGGUCUCAACCAACAUUUCUCCGAGCCUGAAGUCCAGCCCAUCACUUCCCUCCUCAGAAGCCUCGCCCGCCAUGCUGCCCCACCCUGGCUCUUGGCUGGUCUGGAUGUGGUUAACAAGCAAGCCAAAACAAGACACGCUGGCUAAUCCCUAGGGGGGGCACCUAGACCCAGGAGGCAUGGAGCCAUCUUAGAAGCCAGGCGUGAACUAAGACUUAAGUAAUCCUGUAACUGUCUGCAGUAUGGCGGGCUACAGCAGCUGGUGCCUGGAUCGAGGAAGCUCCUGCAUCCUUGAUACCAGCGAGACAUGGGGGAAAGUGAAGAGACCAACCAAGGCUCUCCAGCCAACGCUGGACGUAUUCCCUCCACCCCGGCCCCAUCCAAAUCCUGAUGCUCAGCAGCAGCCAUCUCGUCUCUCUGACAUGGCCACAGGAGUGCUCAUCCCUCCCGGUUCCUCAGAGGACUUGUUAUUCCCAGGGGAGACCGUCCCCAGAGGUCUCUAUCCCAGCUCUGCUGUUCACGCAGAGGUGCCUGGUCUCCAGCUUUAUCAUGGUGCAUCUCACUGCUGGAGUCCUCCCCUGGGCUCUGCCCCCCCCCCCCCCC